GAUGAAGAACGUAGCGAAAUGCGAAAAGUAGUGUGAAUUGCAGAAUUCAGUGAAUCAUCGAAUCUUUGAACGCACAUUGCGCCCGCCAGUAUUCUGGCGGGCAUGCCUGUCUGAGCGUCAUUUCAACCCUCAUGCCCCUAGGGCGUGGUGUUGGGGAUCGGCCAAAGCCCGCGAGGGACGGCCGGCCCCUAAAUCUAGUGGCGGACCCGUCGUGGCCUCCUCUGCGAAGUAGUGAUAUUCCGCAUCGGAGAGCGAUGAGCCCCUGCCGUUAAACCCCCAACUUUCCAAGGUUGACCUCAGAUCAGGUAGGAAUACCCGCUGAACUUAAGCAUAUCAAUAAGCGGAGGA
rnacentral:misc_RNA from 1 species